UAAGUGGAUGAAUUUGACUGAUUGCUACCACUCAAAAAAAGGCUAAAGCAGAUU
rnacentral:ncRNA from 1 species